AUUGAACGCUGGCGGCAGGCCUAACACAUGCAAGUCGAACGGUAACAGGAAGCAGCUUGCUGCUUCGCUGACGAGUGGCGGACGGGUGAGUAAUGUCUGGGAAACUGCCUGAUGGAGGGGGAUAACUACUGGAAACGGUAGCUAAUACCGCAUAACGUCGCAAGACCAAAGAGGGGGACCUUCGGGCCUCUUGCCAUCGGAUGUGCCCAGAUGGGAUUAGCUAGUAGGUGGGGUAACGGCUCACCUAGGCGACGAUCCCUAGCUGGUCUGAGAGGAUGACCAGCCACACUGGAACUGAGACACGGUCCAGAUUCCUACGGGAGGCAGCAGUGGGGAAUAUUGCACAAUGGGCGCAAGCCUGAUGCAGCCAUGCCGCGUGUAUGAAGAAGGCCUUCGGGUUGUAAAGUACUUUCAGCGGGGAGGAAGGCGAUAAGGUUAAUAACCUUGUCGAUUGACGUUACCCGCAGAAGAAGCACCGGCUAACUCCGUGCCAGCAGCCGUGGUAAUACGGGGGGUGCAAGCGUUAAUCGGAAUUACUGGGCGUAAAGCGCACGCAGGCGGUCUGUCAAGUCGGAUGUGAAAUCCCCGGGCUCAACCUGGGAACUGCAUUCGAAACUGGCAGGCUAGAGUCUUGUAGAGGGGGGUAGAAUUCCAGGUGUAGCGGUGAAAUGCGUAGAGAUCUGGAGGAAUACCGGUGGCGAAGGCGGCCCCCUGGACAAAGACUGACGCUCAGGUGCGAAAGCGUGGGGAGCAAACAGGAUUAGAUACCCUGGUAGUCCACGCCGUAAACGAUGUCGACUUGGAGGUUGUGCCCUUGAGGCGUGGCUUCCGGAGCUAACGCGUUAAGUCGACCGCCUGGGGAGUACGGCCGCAAGGUUAAAACUCAAAUGAAUUGACGGGGGCCCGCACAAGCGGUGGAGCAUGUGGUUUAAUUCGAUGCAACGCGAAGAACCUUACCUACUCUUGACAUCCAGAGAACUUUCCAGAGAUGGAUUGGUGCCUUCGGGAACUCUGAGACAGGUGCUGCAUGGCUGUCGUCAGCUCGUGUUGUGAAAUGUUGGGUUAAGUCCCGCAACGAGCGCAACCCUUAUCCUUUGUUGCCAGCGGUCCGGCCGGGAACUCAAAGGAGACUGCCAGUGAUAAACUGGAGGAAGGUGGGGAUGACGUCAAGUCAUCAUGGCCCUUACGAGUAGGGCUACACACGUGCUACAAUGGCGCAUACAAAGAGAAGCGACCUCGCGAGAGCAAGCGGACCUCAUAAAGUGCGUCGUAGUCCGGAUUGGAGUCUGCAACUCGACUCCAUGAAGUCGGAAUCGCUAGUAAUCGUGGAUCAGAAUGCCACGGUGAAUACGUUCCCGGGCCUUGUACACACCGCCCGUCACACCAUGGGAGUGGGUUGCAAAAGAAGUAGGUAGCUUAACCUUCGGGAGGGCGCUUACCACUUUGUGAUUCAUGACUGGGGUG
rnacentral:rRNA from 1 species